rfam:Gossypium hirsutum cultivar TM-1 chromosome 16, whole genome shotgun sequence
AUCCCGUGGUGAGGGCAUCUACGAAGUAACUCCUUAAAUGUUUCUCAUGCCUCGUAUAAGGAUUCGUUAUCCAUUUGUUGAAAAGGGUUAUCUCAUUCCGCAACU